UUCCAAGCAGGUUCAGAAUUUGCAGUAAUUUAUAGUAAAGCCGAAAUUAGCUUUUCAUGGCUUUGUGGUGAGAGGGCUCCCAAUUUAAUAAAAGAUCAGGUUGGGUUUAUCAGUGGUAGGGACUUUCUCAGAACAAAGAAGAUAUACACCCUCAGUAUCAAUGUGCACACUCCACAAGCUCAAUUCACAAUAGCUAAACUAUGGAACCAACCUAGGGGCCCUCAACAGAUGAACAGAUGAAGGAAUUGUGGUGUAUAUACAUAUUGGAAUUUUCCUCAUCCAUAAAGAAGAAUGAAAUUAUGGCAUUUACCAGUAAAUGGGUGGAACUGAUUUAUUAUGCUAAACCGAAGUAAGCCAGUCCUGAAGAACCAGAGACUGAAUAUUGUCUCUGAUAUGCAGAUAAUAAUUUAUAAUAAGAGGGGUUGGCUAGGGACAAAUAGAAGCACUUAGGAUUAGACAAGGAUGGGAGUAUGGGGGUAGGAAUGAGUAGAAUUAAUCAUACCCUAUAUGCAUAUAUGAUUGCACUACCUGAGUAACUCUACAUCAUGUACAACCAGAAGAAUGAAAAGUUAUAUUACAUUCACGUAUGAAAAAGUUUUUUAAAAGAAACACUGUUGCGUAAAAAUAGAAUGCCAGUCAGACUGUGUAUGACCUUAUAUGGGAGACAAAGAGCUGGCAAGUAAAAGAGGAACUAACAAAGAGUCCUCAGCUUUUGGAUACAAAUCCACUGGCACUAGUAAACACUGCUUCCUGCUGAACACCCAGUGCCCUGUCUCAGAGAAUCCCACAAGCUCAGGCAGUGGAAGCUCCUUGUGGCUGUCUCCUGAAUCCCACUAACAUCCAUCUUUUGAAGGAUCCCUGCUCCCAGGCAGCAGGAACCCCAGGCUCACCUUGAUUUCCUGUUCUACCAACCAAGAUAACAGUAAUUUUCCAAAGACAGCUGAAUUAAAGCCUAAAGUCUAGGAACUGCUCCGCACUCCUGGAUACCACUGCUCAUAGGACAGAGGAUUUGAACAUCUGUGACCACUCCAAAAUUCCUGUUGGAAAUGGCCCCCAGUGCAGCAGUACGAACUCAUCCAGGAGAUGACUAGGCCAUGAGAGCUCUGCUCCUUGAACAGAGACUUCUCAGGGCAACGUUACCAUAGCAACUGGGGCAUCUGGAGUUGCACCUAUGCACAGGCAGCUCCCAGUGCAAACACAGCCACGAGAGAGUCAGAAGAUCUGAUUCAAAUCACCACUCUCCACAACGUGAGGUUUCCACAUGGGUCCCCCUGGACCCUGCUGUGUUCCACUGUCAGACAGUGCAUCCCUGAAUCACUGGCACCUGACCUAACCACACGAGCAGCAUAUUGAGUUUGGUAUCUACUGAGACAAGGCUUCUCACUCCCCACCCCGUCGCUGCCCUCACUAUUCAUGGUCUUUUUCCUUCUACAUAAAUAUUAUAAUUAGAUUGUAAAGUUCCCCCAAAGAAACCCUGUGGGAUAUUGAUCAGAGUGUAAUUGAAUGCCAGAUUGUUUUGAGGAAAAUCCAAUGUCCACCAUACUCAAAAGUACCUUGGCUCUUCAUUUAUUAAUAAGCUCCUUCUCAUGUCUCUCAAGAAAAUUUGUCAUGUUUUCACUUAAAGUGCAAAAUUUAUUUUCAGCCAAAAAUAUAGGGUUUACUAAUGUAUUGGAAUCCUUUUAAAAUUCUGUUUUUCUGAGUUGGGCACAGUGGCAUACACCUGUGAUCCCAGCUACUCAGGAGGGAAAUGGAUCAAAAUUAUGAAGACAAUUUUGGCAAAUAACGAAAGGCUUUUUUAAAAUGAAAUUUUAAAAAUUUCAAAAGUGGGGGACAUGGCUCAAUGGUAGAAUAAAUAGUUGGCUAGCAUGCCUGAGGCCCUGGACUCAAUUCCCAGUACUGCAAAAAAAAACCACCAACCCUCUGUCUUCUCUGCUUCUCACCUCCUCCACCACAGGGUGCCAUGUGGUGUGCACAUUCCCACCAAGACUG